ensembl:lncRNA
CGUAGUCACCAUGGCCAACAGAGAUGUGUUUGUGAAAAAUGCAGUUCUAUACCAAUAGUUGUUCAACGGCAGAGCUGUCUUGAUCAACUCAUUGAUGGCUUGUCCCACAAUGGAGUUUUAUCACUCCUGAGAGAGAACCCCAGCUUGUGUGUGCUGCUUGACAUACCAGGAGAUGACAAAGGUCAAGAAACUGAUUUUGUAGCUGGUAUUCUCAAACCAAGCUACUCCGUACUGGGGAGCAACAGAAGAGCUAAGGAGGAGUUGAUAGUGGUCAAAUUUAGGGAGUUUCUCCAAUGUGUUGAAAGUAAGUACCGGUAUGUAUUUGUAAUUCAGUAUAUUAUACAACAAGGCAAUCCAGGACAUUUACAGAUUCAUUUUAUUCUCUGCAACUGUGCCUAUCUAAUGUGUUUGUACCACAAACAAGAAUACAGUUGUUAUCUGAUUGCUUUUCAGAAUAAAAUUGCUUUUUCAUCAAAAUACCUAUACAGUAAUCCAUUAGUCACUCAAUUAUUCAUUGAUUCAGGCUUUCUUAAACCUGAGUAUUUUCCAGUCUCCAAGUCAACAAUGGUUUCCCUUUGCUUUUAGAUAAAGAGCUGAGAGACACAUAUGGGGACAGGACUCUAACCAACGAUGAGGAGGCAUUCCUGAAGACUUUGAGCCCUGGUCACAUCCUGGCGUUUGCUACAGGUAGCAGCAAAGUCCCAGCCACUGGCUUUCAUUCAUCUCCUAAAUUAAUGUUUAUUCAUGAUGAAAAAAAACAUCUUCCCAUUGUGCACACUUGUACAAAUGAGCUUCACCUUUUUGUAAACGGAAAAACAAUGGCUGAUGAUAAUGAAUUUAACUACUGCUUCCUAGUAGCACUAAUGAAUGGAUCUUUAUUCAGCACCAUUUAAACAAACUUUGUGAAAGAACCUCUGCAGUGUAAUACACCACUGUUUAGUGGAGGGCUCCUCAUGUUUGUUCAUAGAAGACAUAGUUUGUCCAUGUUAUAAAGCAAUGGUUUUUAAUUGCAGUACAUAAGAAUGCUAAAAAAGAAAUACUUUAGAUUGUGUUUUCCCAUCUUGCUCCACACUCUUUGCCCUGUUUUCUUACAAAAAAUGUUGACCUCUGUGAGGACUAUCUGACCC